UACAGAGGUCUCAAGCGUUGUUCGGAUUCAUUGGGCGUAAAGGGUGCGUAGGCGGCGCGGUAAGUCGGGUGUGAAAUUUCGAGGCUUAACUUCGAAACUGCAUUCGAUACUGCCGUGCUAGAGGACUGGAGAGGAGACUGGAAUUUACGGUGUAGCGGUGAAAUGCGUAGAUAUCGUAAGGAAGACCAGUGGCGAAGGCGGGUCCCUGGACAGUUCCUGACGCUGAGGCACGAAGGCCAGGGGAGCAAACGGG
rnacentral:rRNA from 1 species